AGUGAACGCUGGCGGUAGGCCUAACACAUGCAAGUCGAACGGCAGCACAGUAAGAGCUUGCUCUUACGGGUGGCGAGUGGCGGACGGGUGAGGAAUACAUCGGAAUCUACUUUUUCGUGGGGGAUAACGUAGGGAAACUUACGCUAAUACCGCAUACGACCUACGGGUGAAAGCAGGGGAUCUUCGGACCUUGCGCGAUUGAAUGAGCCGAUGUCGGAUUAGCUAGUUGGCGGGGUAAAGGCCCACCAAGGCGACGAUCCGUAGCUGGUCUGAGAGGAUGAUAGGCCACCCGGGAACGGAGACACGUCCCAGCCCCUUACGGGAGGAAGAAGGGGGAAUUUUUGGACAAUGGGCGCAAGCCUGAUCCAGCCAUCCCGCGUGGGUGAAGAGGCCUUCGGGUUGUAAAGCCCUUUUGUUGGGAAAGAAAAGCAGCAGGUUAAUACCCCGCUGUUCUGACGGUACCCAAAGAAUAAGCACCGGCUAACUUCGUG
rnacentral:rRNA from 1 species